AUUGAACGCUAGCGGCAGGCCUAACACAUGCAAGUCGAACGAGUGGCGGACGGGUGAGUAAUGUCUGGGAAACUGCCCGAUGGCGGGGGAUAACUACUGGAAACGGUGGCUAAUACCGCAUACUAUCGGAUAUGCCCAGAUGGGAUUAGCUAGUAGGUGGGGUAACGGCUCACCUAGGCGACGAUCCGUAGCUGGUCUGAGAGGAUGACCAGCCACACUGGAACUGAGACACGGUCCAGACUCCUACGGGAGGCAGCAGUGGGGAAUAUUGCACAAUGGGCGCAAGCCUGAUGCAGCCAUGCCGCGUGUAUGAAGAAGGCCUUCGGGUUGUAAAGUACUUUCGGCGGGGAGGCGUUACCCGCAGAAGAAGCACCGGCUAACUCCGUGCCAGCAGCCGCGGUAAUUC
rnacentral:rRNA from 1 species